GGGUCAGUAGGUUGGUCGUGCCACCGGUACGUACUGGUCUCACUGAUUCCUCCUUCCUGAAGAACCGUAAUGCCAUUAAUUUGGUGUUGCGGGGAAACAGGACUGUUACUUUGAAAAAAGUAGAGUGUUUAAAGCAAGCUAACGCUUGAAUACAUUAGCAUGGAAUAAUGAAAUAGGACGAUCGAUCCUAUUUUGUUGGUUUCUAGGAUUGACGUA
rnacentral:rRNA from 1 species